rnacentral:rRNA from 1 species
AUGGCUCAGGACGAACGCUGGCGGCAUGCCUAACACAUGCAAGUCGAACGGAGUAAUGACUUCGGUUAUUACUUAGUGGCGAACGGGUGAGUAACACGUGAAUAAUCUGCCCUGUACGAUGGGAUAACAGCUGGAAACGGCUGCUAAUACCGUAUAUGACCACGCCGAGGCAUCUCGGAGGGGUGAAAGCGCUUAAGCGGUACAGGAUGAGUUCGCGUCCAAUUAGCUAGUUGGUGAGGUAACGGCCCACCAAGGCGACGAUUGGUAGCCGACCUGAGAGGGUGAUCGGCCACACUGGAACUGAGACACGGUCCAGACUCCUACGGGAGGCAGCAGUGGGGAAUAUUGGGCAAUGGAAGAAACUCCUUACCCAGCAAUGCCGCGUGAGUGAUGAAGGUCUUCGGAUUGUAAAGCUCUUUGAUUGGGGACGAAUAAAUGACGGUACCCAAGGAACAAGCCCCGGCUAACUAUGUGCCAGCCGCCGC